UGGGGAAUAUUGCACAAUGGGCGAAAGCCUGAUGCAGCGACGCCGCGUGAGGGAUGACGGCCUUCGGGUUGUAAACCUCUUUCGACAGGGACGAAGGGCAACUGACGGUACCUGUAGAAGAAGCACCGGCUAACUACGUGCCAGCAGCCGCGGUAAUACGUAGGGUGCAAGCGUUGUCCGGAAUUAUUGGGCGUAAAGAGCUCGUAGGCGGUUUGUCACGUCGGCUGUGAAACCUGGAGGCUUAACCUUCAGCCUGCAGUCGAUACGGGCAGACUUGAGUUCGGUAGGGGAGACUGGAAUUUCUGGUGUAGCGGUGAAAUGCGCAGAUAUCAGAAGGAACACCGGUGGCGAAGGCGGGUCUCUGGGCCGAUACUGACGCUGAGGAGCGAAAGCAUGGGUAGCGAACAGG
rnacentral:rRNA from 1 species